UUCCUACCUAAACUGAUGGCGUUGAGAG
rnacentral:sRNA from 1 species